rnacentral:rRNA from 1 species
UACGAAGGGGGCUAGCGUUGUUCGGAGUUACUGGGCGUAAAGGGCGCGUAGGCGGCGCAUCAAGUCAGGCGUGAAAGCCCUGGGCUCAACCCGGGAAUUGCGCUUGAGACUGGUGUGCUUGAGUACGGGAGAGGAUAGUGGAAUUCCCAGUGUAGAGGUGAAAUUCGUAGAUAUUGGGAAGAACACCGGUGGCGAAGGCGGCUAUCUGGACCGUAACUGACGCUGAGGCGCGAAAGCGUGGGGAGCGAACAGG